rnacentral:rRNA from 1 species
CCUGCCAGUAGUCAUAUGCUUCGUUCAAGGGCUAAGCCAUGCAUGUCUCAGAGUACAUGGCCUUCCCACAGUGGGUCUGUGAAUGGCUCCUUACAUCAGCAGUCAUCUCCAUGAUGGAGUGUGGAUGGCACCACCUCUGCCAGGUGCCCACUUGGACAUCCUCCAAAACCUAGUGGCUAAUACACGCAAGCCCAAGUCUGCCACGAGAGUGUGUGGCCUGCAAUCCAUGUCUGGCCUCACAGGCGGUGGAUGGCGCCCAGCUGCUGCAAAGACCAGCGCCUGGAAAGGCAGCAUGUCCUUGGCUGACUCAGGCUGGUCCCUCUGGGACAACUGCGCUGGCGGAGUGGAAGGCCUUCCAGCCUUCAGCACUGCUUGAUCACAAGAACUUCUGACCUAUCAGCUUGGACUGUGGUGCAGUGGACCACAGUGGCCUUGACAGGUAACGGAGAAUCAGGGUUCGAUUCCGGAGAGGGAGCCUGAGAGACGGCUGCCACUACCAAGGUGGGCAGCAGGCGCGCAAAUUGCCCAAUGCUGAGACAUGCCUGGCGAGGCAGCAACGAACCGUAGCAAUUCCGCCUGUCCUUGUGAUGGGUGGAACUUGCAAUGGAUGCUAUCCAAACCCAGUGAUGAGUAUCAACUGGAGGGCAAGUCUGGUGCCAGCAGCUGCGGUAAUUCCAGCUCCAAGGGCGUAUACUGACAUUGCUGCUGUUAAAACACUUGUAGUCGGAUGCAGGGCCACAGGUCUGCUGGGUGGCCAUGCGGGGGCACAUGUGCCUCAUGCCCACCCUCGGGUGGCGUGUGGGGUGGCAGUGAACCCAAGUGGAACUCAACCCCCAGCGGUAUGUUCCUGUGCCCGCAAUCACACCAAUGAUGGUGAGAACUGCUCCUGCUUGAAGCCUCCUUCAGUGGAGGUUGAGGCGGUGUUUACACCCAAUGCUUGUGUGUGGCCAUCACAGGACAUGGGCCUGCCCCAUGUAUCUCUCCCUGGGCCCACCACUGGAGUCCACCAUCGCAGCCACCCUGGAAAACUCAGUGUGCUCAACGCAUCCGCCUUGGCUGGAUGCCUGUCCAUGGAAUGGCAAAGCAUCGACCAGAUGUGGCAGUCAGAUGUUGUGCUGGCCUUGGUGCCCAAUCUGGGGAACUAGGUACCCAUUGCACCUUGGCACAGUGUGGCACACCCUUGUUGGUCCCUGCCACCUCCUGUGCCUUGGAGCAGAUGUGUACCCUCCGUCCACGAGGGGACUGCUUGGGGUGAAAGAUAUUGCAGCGCCAGAGGUGAAAUUCUUAGACCGCUGUGGGAUCAACUGCAGCGAAGGCGUUCUGCACCUGCAUGUCCGUCGAUCAAGAAUGAGAGUGUGGGGAGCGAAGAUGAUCAGACACCGUCGUAGUCCACCACUGUAAACUAUGCCGGCUCAGUGCUGAGAGAGCAAGUCCACGGACUCUCCCAGCGCUAAACCCCCUGCAACGAGAAAUCCAAGCCUGUGGGUUCAGGGGGGAGUACUGCUGCAAGGCUGAAACUUGAAGGAAUUGACGGAAUGGCACCACAAGGCGUGGAGUAUGCGGCUUAAUUUGACUCAACACGGGGAAUGUUACCAGGUCAGGACACAGCUGGGAUGGACAGACUGAGAGCUCUUUCUUGAUCCUGUGGAUGGUGGUGCAUGGCCGCUCCUGAUUGGUGGAGUGAUUUGUCUGGUUGAUUCCGAUAACGAGUGAGACCUCUGCCUCCCAAUAGCCUCAGUCUCGCAUCUGUAGGGUGGCCUCUGUGCUGCCUCAGCUUGGUCACUUGUGGCCCUGCUGGGGUGGCCGCUGGCUGCCUGAGAGCUCUGAGAUCAGCUUCUCUGAGGUGCUGUGUACGCUGCCAAGUGCACGCAUGCUAGAGCCAACAGCAGGUCUGUGAUGCUCCCAGAUGUCCUGGGCCGCACGCGCACUACAUUGACACAGUGAAUGUGCUCUCCCUUGCUUGCCAAGGCCUGCCCAGAAGUGGGUGGGAAACCCUGUGAGACUGUGCUGUACUGGGGAUAGAUGAUUGCAACUGUCUGCCUUGAACGAGGAAUGCCUAGUAAGCAUGGGUCAUCAGCCCAUGCUGAUUGUGUCCCUGCCAUUUGUACACACCGCCCGUCGUUGCUACCGAUGGUGGCAGGAUAGAGCCAUCAGGAGGCCACUGCUGGGGGGCUUGCCCCUUGGCGGCGCCAAACUUGGGCAAUGUCCUGCCACUAGAGGAAGCAAAAGUCGUAACAAGGUUGUUGUAGGUGAA